rnacentral:rRNA from 1 species
UAUGGUAAUGCCAGCCGCCGCGGUAAUACGUAGGGGGCAAGCGUUAUCCGGAAUUACUGGGUGUAAAGGGUGCGUAGGUGGUAUGGCAAGUCAGAAGUGAAAACCCAGGGCUUAACUCUGGGACUGCUUUUGAAACUGUCAGACUAGAGUGCAGGAGAGGUAAGCGGAAUUCCUAGUGUAGCGGUGAAAUGCGUAGAUAUUAGGAGGAACAUCAGUGGCGAAGGCGGCUUACUGGACUGAAACUGACACUGAGGCACGAAAGCGUGGGGAGCAAACAGG